rnacentral:rRNA from 1 species
CAGCAGCCGCGGGAAUACGAAGGGUGCAAGCGUUACUCGGAAUUACUGGGCGUAAAGCGUGCGUAGGUGGUGGUUUAAGUCCGUUGUGAAAGCCCUGGGCUCAACCUGGGAAUUGCAGUGGAUACUGGGUCACUAGAGUGUGGUAGAGGAUAGUGGAAUUUCCGGUGUAGCAGUGAAAUGCGUAGAGAUCGGAAGGAACAUCUGUGGCGAAGGCGACUAUCUGGGCCAACACUGACACUGAGGCACGAAAGCGUGGGGAGCAAACAGGAUUAGAGACCCCGUAGUCCCUGUCUCUUAUACA